AGCUUUAUGUAUCCGCGCUGAGAUUUCGUCACACACUAGACCACAAGGGUUUAUGAAACUCCCAAGAUAAGUGAAGCG
rnacentral:pre_miRNA from 1 species